rnacentral:rRNA from 1 species
GAUGAACGCUGGCGGCGUGCUUAACACAUGCAAGUCGAACGGAAAGGCUCCUGCUUGCAGGGGUACUCGAGUGGCGAACGGGGGAGUAACACGUGGGUGAUCUGCCCUGCACUUCGGGAUAAGCCUGGGAAACUGGGUCUAAUACCGGAUAGGACGAUGGUUUGGAUGCCAUUGUGGAAAGUUUUUUCGGUGUGGGGUGAGCUCGCGGCCUAUCAGCUUGUUGGUGGGGUAAUGGCCUACCAAGGCGUCGACGGGUAGCCGGCCUGAGAGGGUGUACGGCCACAUUGGGACUGAGAUACGGCCCAGACGCCUACGGGAGGCAGCAGUGGGGAAUAUUGCACAAUGGGCGCAAGCCUGAUGCAGCGACGCCGCGUGGGGGAUGACGGCCUUCGGGUUGUAAACUCCUUUCGCUAGGGACGAAGCGCAAGUGACGGUACCUGGAGAAGAAGCACCGGCUAACUACGUGC